AGAGUUUGAUCCUGGCUCAGGACGAACGCUGGCGGCGUGCCUAAUACAUGCAAGUCGAACGAACUCUGGUAUUGAUUGGUGCUUGCAUCAUGAUUUACAUUUGAGUGAGUGGCGAACUGGUGAGUAACACGUGGGAAACCUGCCCAGAAGCGGGGGAUAACACCUGGAAACAGAUGCUAAUACCGCAUAACAACUUGGACCGCAUGGUCCGAGUUUGAAAGAUGGCUUCGGCUAUCACUUUUGGAUGGUCCCGCGGCGUAUUAGCUAGAUGGUGGGGUAACGGCUCACCAUGGCAAUGAUACGUAGCCGACCUGAGAGGGUAAUCGGCCACAUUGGGACUGAGACACGGCCCAAACUCCUACGGGAGGCAGCAGUAGGGAAUCUUCCACAAUGGACGAAAGUCUGAUGGAGCAACGCCGCGUGAGUGAAGAAGGGUUUCGGCUCGUAAAACUCUGUUGUUGAAGAAGAACAUAUCUGAGAGUAACUGUUCAGGUAUUGACGGUAUUUAACCAGAAAGCCACGGCUAACUACGUGCCAGCAGCCGCGGUAAUACGUAGGUGGCAAGCGUUGUCCGGAUUUAUUGGGCGUAAAGCGAGCGCAGGCGGUUUUUUAAGUCUGAUGUGAAAGCCUUCGGCUCAACCGAAGAAGUGCAUCGGAAACUGGGAAACUUGAGUGCAGAAGAGGACAGUGGAACUCCAUGUGUAGCGGUGAAAUGCGUAGAUAUAUGGAAGAACACCAGUGGCGAAGGCGGCUGUCUGGUCUGUAACUGACGCUGAGGCUCGAAAGUAUGGGUAGCAAACAGGAUUAGAUACCCUGGUAGUCCAUACCGUAAACGAUGAAUGCUAAGUGUUGGAGGGUUUCCGCCCUUCAGUGCUGCAGCUAACGCAUUAAGCAUUCCGCCUGGGGAGUACGGCCGCAAGGCUGAAACUCAAAGGAAUUGACGGGGGCCCGCACAAGCGGUGGAGCAUGUGGUUUAAUUCGAAGCUACGCGAAGAACCUUACCAGGUCUUGACAUACUAUGCAAAUCUAAGAGAUUAGACGUUCCCUUCGGGGACAUGGAUACAGGUGGUGCAUGGUUGUCGUCAGCUCGUGUCGUGAGAUGUUGGGUUAAGUCCCGCAACGAGCGCAACCCUUAUUAUCAGUUGCCAGCAUUAAGUUGGGCACUCUGGUGAGACUGCCGGUGACAAACCGGAGGAAGGUGGGGAUGACGUCAAAUCAUCAUGCCCCUUAUGACCUGGGCUACACACGUGCUACAAUGGAUGGUACAACGAGUUGCGAACUCGCGAGAGUAAGCUAAUCUCUUAAAGCCAUUCUCAGUUCGGAUUGUAGGCUGCAACUCGCCUACAUGAAGUCGGAAUCGCUAGUAAUCGCGGAUCAGCAUGCCGCGGUGAAUACGUUCCCGGGCCUUGUACACACCGCCCGUCACACCAUGAGAGUUUGUAACACCCAAAGUCGGUGGGGUAACCUUUUAGGAACCAGCCGCCUAAGGUGGGACAGAUGAUUAGGGUGAAGUCGUAACAAGGUAGCCGUAGGAGAACCUGCGGCUGGAUCACCU
rnacentral:rRNA from 1 species